GGUGGAAAGUCAACUCGAGGUGAUGGGGAGCAGUUGCUCGCCUUGGAUAAAGAUAAAAAGAACGCCAUUAUAGCCAUCCAUGGAGGCGGCAUCAGGUAGGACACCCAUCAUUGGUAUCUGCUUGGCACCUAUAAUACUAAUUCAUUGCUUGGCUCACUUCUUGAUCACAGCUCGCUUCUAGUAGAGCCAUGUCUCUGGGCUAUACUUAACACCUUUUAGAUGUGUAGUCACACAGUGUCUGGUAACUCACUAAUUAAUUUCGACUCCUGGUUACUCCAUGACACUUAAUUGUUGUCGUCAGUCAUGGAAAAAGUACUUGUAUUCUUUACUUGAGUAAAAGCUAUCAAUAAUGCAAUAUAGAAAUACUCCGCUACAAUUAAAACAUUCAACAUGCACUUGAGUAAAAGCAUGAAAUUGUUGGCAUCAAUAUGUACUUAAAGUACCAAAAGUAAAAGUAGAAAAUGUUUGAAAAUAGCAGAUCUACAAGCUUGUACAUUGGCUAUUUUCAAAUAUAAAUAGAAUAAAAUGAGGCUAAAGUGGUUCAUGUAUGUUUUAUAAUAAUAUAAUUUAGAUCUGGAAAGUAACUAAAGUUCUCAAAUAAAUGUAGAGUGGAGUAAAAUUACAAUGUAUCCAUCUGAGAUGUAUUGGAGUAGAAGUAUUGGAUAUUGGAAAUACUCAAGUAAAGUACAAAUACCUCAAGACUGCACUUGAGUACAGAAGUUAAAUACAUGUUCUUUACACCACUGGUUGUCGUCUGCGGCGUUAAAAAAAAUCAUAUUCACCUUUCCUUCACCUUCACCCAUAAUCCUAUCUCAUAGGCAUAUUUUGCUAUUCUAGGAAUAGAAGCUGGCUGGUGUGUGUGUGUGUGUGUGAAUGAAAACAUUUCAUUAGGGCAAUGUAAAGCUUUUUAGGUACCGUUGGGUGCAGAAGAGUGCUAUGUAGACUGUCCAUUUCCCAUUGUAAGCAUGUUGGGUUUCUGAUGAAGCACUAUAAUUAUCUUGCAAAAAUUCAAUUGCUAUAAUGAUCAAAAGAUUUGACAAUCACUUCGAAUCUUGGUACUUGCAGGGCCAAAUUCAGAGGGCAGCUCCCGUAGAUUAAAGGAAAAAUACGCCUGAAACGACACUUGGACCAUAUUUAGAGCUUGGUAAAUGAUUUUAAACUCACCAGAGGAGUUUCAAUGUCUUUCAUUUUAUUGUUUAUUUAAAACAGGGACAGGUCACAACAAAUGUGUAGUGAUAGCUUAAAGCUAAUUUGCAUCCGUCGUCCCUAGACGCACUUGCCAUCGGAAACUUCACAGAGAUUUUCAGAGAUGAUUAUAGUCCAAAUUGUCCAUGACACACAGCGUAAUGCAAAUACGGGGCACAGAAAUUCCAGGUUCUAAAUAUAGGCUCUAAAUUAUUUAUUUUCUGCCGUGUGACGGCUCAUACAGUCAUAAAAUGAUCUGUAUAAACACUCGGUUGACACUCGAAAAGCAUUGUGCCAUGUUGACAAAUUGGACUAUAAUCAUCCCUGAAAAUCUACGCAACGCUUCCGAAGGAACUCGAUUGAUACCUCCGAGUUUAAAAUCAUUUGCCAAGCUGUAAAUACGGUCGUUUCGGGCAUAAUUUUCGUUUAAGAAGCUGUCUGCCUCUUAAAAAGUAGAGUGUAGACUUCUACAGUCUAAUUAUUUUUGUCUUCUCUGUAGAGGCUACACUGAAGAAGUGGCCGGGAGUGUCCAGCGGCCAACUUGGGGCAGCCAUCAACCAAAAGCUGACAGAGCUCCGAAGAGCACACAAAAAAUAAUAAUAUUUGGCUAUCUUUUUAUUUUUCAUUGUAUUUGAUUUUUGUUUCUGUUUAUUGCCACUUGAAAGCAUGCACUUUUUUGUUUCUGUUUAUUUGAAAGCUAAUGUUGCACUUUUUUGUUUUUUGUUUAUUGCCACUUAAGCUAAUGUUGCACUUUAAAAUAAUUUUUAAAUAAAGUGUUUAAGUUCUA